rnacentral:rRNA from 1 species
CCUACGGGAGGCAGCAGUGGGGGAUAUUGCACAAUGGGGGAAACCCUGAUGCAGCGACGCCGCGUGGGUGAAGAAGUAUUUCGGUAUGUAAAGCCCUAUCAGCAGGGAAGAAAGAAGACGGUACCUGACUAAGAAGCCCCGGCUAACUACGUGCCAGCAGCCGCGGUAAUACGUAGGGGGCGAGCGUUAUCCGGAUUCACUGGGUGUAAAGGGAGCGUAGACGGCCGUGCAAGCCAGGAGUGAAAGCCCGGGGCCCAACCCCGGGACGGCUCUUGGAACUGUGCGGCUGGAGUGCGGGAGGGGCAGGCGGAAUUCCUGGUGUAGCGGUGACAUGCGUAGAUAUCAGGAGGAACACCGGCGGCGAAGGCGGCCUGCUGGACCGCGACUGACGUUGAGGCUCGAAAGCGUGGGGAGCGAACAGGAUUAGAUACCCUAGUAGUC